UAGAAGGUGACUUCAGGUUCUCAGACCUGGU
rnacentral:piRNA from 1 species